AUUUUUAUUUACGUUACUAAAAUUCGCGAUAUAUUAUUUUCAUUUCUCAGUCGAUAGAUUGUUUAUGUAAUCCUUAUAAUGAUGUUCAAACUUAGAUAAUGCGAGUAUCUUAACAAGUUCGAACUAGUUUGAUAUAAAAAUGCAUAUAGCCCAGCACUGACAUUGUUACCUACGUUACGAAACGUUACUGAAUAUGUAUUUUAGUAAUUGAAAAAUACACGCUUGCAACCGCUUAUCUGUUUAACCAAAUAAAUUCACAGAAAUCAAAUAUGAGAAACAAUUAAGUUGCGGGGUUCUGUCACCUAAGUCAUCAUAAUCACUGUCUGUUUCGUAUAUGGUGUCAAUUAUAUUGGUCAUCACUACUUCUUUCAUAGUCAUCAUCAGAGUCACAUGUUGCUGAUGUGUCACAAAUAAUUUCAGCUAGUUCUUGAAGUACUAUAUUAUCGGAACACCAGUCAUAUUCCAACAAAUUUUCUGAUCCAGAUUUCUAUCCACUUUCAUCUACUUUUGGUAGAAUUGAUAGUUCGCACGGGUUAUGUGCAUUCUAAGUGACAAUUGGCACAGUGGAAAUAGACUCAUGUCCAUACCAUUAUAUGUACGCGGGACAUUACCAACACGUACUUGAUACUUUGCGAGAAACAUGUCAUAUAUAAGUUUGUUGAUGUUAUUGUAUUCUUCAGUCCAUAGAUUGCACAGACAAUAGUUUCGAUGCUGUUAAAGAGAUCAGUGUAUGAACUACUUCUGCUAAUGUUGCAACUUACACCUGGUUUUUCUCUACUAAUUUGAGUGGUGUUACUUUCCCUGUGCGAACAAAAGCACGGUUAUGUCAAUCAGUCAGAUGGUGUAUUGCAGGCAACAUUGAGCAGAUUCUUUCUCCUUUGCUUAUAAAGAUGUUGUGAGCAUUUAAAUAGCGUUUCUUAUUGCCUGGUCCAGUGUAAAAUAUAACAGUACUUUGUGUUUUUGAUUUGUUUGUUUGUUUUUGGGUUUAACGCCGUUUUUCAACAGUAUUUCAGUCAUGUAACGGCGGGCAGUUAACCUAACCAGUAUUCCUGGAUUCUGUACCAGUACAAACCUGUUCUCCGCAAGUAACUGCCAACUUCCCCACAUGAAUCAGAGGCGGAGGACUAAUGAUUUCAGACACAAUGUCGUUUAUCAAAUAGUCACGGAGAACAUACGCCCCGCCCGAGGAUCGAACUAGCGACCCCGAGAUCCGUAGACCAACGCUCUUACCUACUGAGCUAAGCGGGCUCUAACUUUGAUUGAGCUUGAAUUUUGUUCCCAUCUUCACUUGUGAGUAAAUAACACUUUUUACCAUUGACAAAAUACAGUUGUCUUCCCUUCAUCUUUGGUGCAUAGGAAUCAUAGUUUCAUUGUUCGAAAACUAGAUUGAUCACUGUGUUUCGUUUUCACUAUAUGACAUGAAUGCUUUUCAGUCACGAGGACUGUAAGUGUCAGUUACAAAAUCGACUCAAGCUGUCUUAGGUAGUUGACUGAACAGAGCUUCGGCUACGUCUUGGAAUGUUGCAGGGAUGGUUACUAAGCUGUGCAGCAGGGCGUCACUGUCAAUCAACAAAACAAUGUCAUCUCUUUGGACGGCUGCAGCCUCUACAUAGUGAAGUAGUUUUGACUUGUCUGUUUUCAUUGGCAGUAGCUAUAACGGCCAGGUGACAGGUCCUAGAGGAAAAGAAGGUGUCAGUUCUAGAUCUAUGUUGUGCCGAACAGCCAAAAGUACCAACUGUUCAUAUACGUUACGUUCUGCUCUUAUCUGUAAUAUUUUGUUUUGAGAAUUGGUUACUUUCCUUUUAACUUCAGCUGUGGAAAAUGUUAUAAGUAUUCUUCUGUUAAUGGGGUCUUGGAAAGGAACUGAUUUUUCAAUCAAUCUUAUUUUGAUAAUCCAUCCAUUGUCUUUACACCUAUUUCAGUUGCCUUAAGGUCAUGAGCGACUUCUGCUUUCGCAGGAAUACCAGACGACACAGUAAAUUUCAUCUUUGUUGUUUUUUUCAGCCUGGAAUGGGUUUGUGAAUGAUUCUAUGCCAUCAUAACCCUGUCAACUUCCUCUUCAAUCAUGCCUAUCUGAGCAGGUCAUACUUCUUUGUGGUUGGACAUGUCUUCUCUAUGUAUGUCUGCAUUCUGAAGUGUUGCUUCAACAUACUUUGCUCUGUAAUGACAAGUCAUGCGCCAGUGGAAAUAUGCAGCAUAGUUUCUACUGAAACCAAGUAUGCCAACCUCAGACUUUUCAUGUCUGUUAAUUGUCUGCUUUGUAGUAAUAUCUACAGAAUUUCUCAAUGCCGGUACAGAAGACCUAGAUACACUAAAAUCAUUACUUCGGAGUAGCUCUUCUGCACCUGGAUCAAUAUUUAUCAAUGUCAACAGGUAAAUGAGGCGGUAGCGAGAAAAACUUAUUGUGGUCAAAUGCGAAGAACAAAGAGCACAGUUUGUACAGAGAUGCUAUAUGUAAAUCAAGAGAAUUCAUUGAUGAGCAAAAAUAUCAUGUUAAUUAGGCCUAUAUGCAUUGACCAAAAUUGAGCAGUUUGGCCACUUUCACCCUUUCUGAUUUCUGAUUUGAACUGCUCAUGUCUGUUGAAAUACUCUUCAAAGUCAGGAGAGUUAUUAUUUCAAACACCUUUUCUUUGCAUGGACUUUCAGUCCGUUUCUGUAAUAUUAGUGUCUUCUGAAAUGCUUUCUUUACGGGGUUCUGUCUUUUCCGACUUGCAUAGAAGCAAACACUCAAGAGCUUCCAUUAAAGUCCUGUGUUCAUUUAGGGUAUGGUUAUAGCGUUUACCUGGUAAUACUUUAUCAAGUGAACCGCUAAAAUAAAUUCCUGAUUCUACAUUACAAGUUCUGCAAGACCAUUGCCCUUCAAUAAUUUUCCUACAGGCCCAAAUAUAAAGCAGAUUGUGUGAAAUCCAUCCAAAUCCAUCUCUACACUGCAGAACCAAAGAAUAUGCAUUCUUAGCAACAGCCGAGUCACAUGCCACUAUAGUAUAUUUCUGACCAACUUCAUUACUUGCAUCUACUGACGUUUUUAACAUAUGCUGGACUGUAGCAUUAUCAUUGAUUGAAUAAUUCGAAGGUGCCAUAUAUAUGAAGCAAGUUUGAGCACUCACUCUCUGCAAAUCAGCUCACAAAUAUGUAAUUUUUUUAUUUUUUUUAUUUGUCUAUUUAUUUUUUUCAUUUUAUUUCAUUUCAUUUUAUUUCAUUUUCAACUCAAUGAAAUCAGUUUCAUUUCACAUGAAAAAUGAUUUUUUGUCAAUCUUGAUGGUAAAUACAGUUUGAAGAAAAUUAUAUAUAAUUUAUCUAAUUAGUAAUUUUCGUUACCUAGAUUUAUAAUUUGUGAUAUAUUGAUGUUUUAAAAUAUAUAAUAAAUAUUUAUGAAAUUUGUACAUGUUACAUAUCUGUUUAAACAAAAUAUUUUACCACAUCCCAAAUAGUUUUCGACUUUUUAAAAAAAAAUUAUUAUUAUAAAUUUGAAACUCAUAUUGUCAACAUUAUAUGUGACGUCGUCUUUGAAAACCGGUCCAGAUGCGGCAUGACGUAAUAUCGAGAAACGACGUCUAAAGUUGCGCCAAGUUUACGCGCGCAGCUUUCUUACACAUGUUUUAAUUAGCAAAAGUUUGACCGUUAAAGUACGACUGCUUGUUACAUGACUGAUAACAGCCUACUAGAGAAAGAAUAUUUAGACAUCAGACCUGUAAAAAAAAAUAGUGGUAUUACGCCUGAGACAAAAUAUUUCAUUCAAAAUCAGUUGUUUCCCCUUCGCUACUGUAUGUUUCCGGUUUCGGAUUUUAUCAGGGAAGCAUGUGAAAUUUACUUUUGUUUAACUACCUUUUGUUCAACGAUGAAGGGAUCUGAGACUUGUAAUACUGUUUACUGAUUUGAUAAUAUUCGUUGUUCCUUUGAUGGUUCAUUCCACUACAGCUGGUUCAUAUACCCUACAACAGCCAGGAAAUUGGUCUGUUUACUUUAAGAUCUGAAGAAAAUGUAAUAUAUUUUGGAUGUGCUUUGAGGAAUCAGGAAGGCAAGUGUUUCUUCUUGUUUAUGAAAGCAACUCAAUUGGUUAAGGGGCAGACAACUUGUGAGCAUGGUACAUUACUAUCUGUAUUGGUAUUCCAUUUUGACAAUGCUGCUAGCUAGAAUAGAAAUAACAUCUUGCUGUGGUAUGGUCUGUGGAGAGCUUUACUAGGAAAUCACAGAUCGAUUGAAUAUUCAACAAUGAUCACAGACCAUGCAAAGUUUGAAUCUGACUUGCACUUUUGAAUUUAGAAGAAUCUGUGGAGGAGGGUGAAUGCUGAGACCUUUAAUAAUACAUGAUAUUGCUGACACAGUGUGUCAGUCAUCAAAGAAAGGUCAUAACAUUGCAGAGUUGGUCAACAAUGAUUUAAAUCCUGUCAUAUUCUACCAGUGGAGAAAUAUUUUAUCACAAUAUAAUAUCUUAUCACAAUAUUUUAAACUUUUGAAGAAGAUAACCAAGUAUUACCACUUUAUCAUGUCUGCAGAAACACCUGGAUUGUUAGUGUUAAAAGUGACAAUCGAAGUUGAGACAGUUAACUUACUAAAAUCUACUCCCUCUUGCCAAACGAGUAUUAUUGACAUGGAAUGACACAAGCCUGACAAUGGUACCUGUAUGAACUCAUAAGAGAAUAGUAUUUGUCUUAAAUGUCAAAUGAUUCUGUUUGUCCCAGACCACUUGAACUGAAAACUGAAAUUGUGAUUGACAAGGAUUUUUCUGAGAACUGAAAAAAGGAAGAGAAUGUAAAAGAUAGAAAUUGUUGUUGAAUUCAAACGUUUUAAUACACAACACUUUAGCCUGUUUUGCUGUUCAUAUAGAUGUGUUUAGCUGUUAAGGUUAAACAUCAAGUAAAGGUUGUAGUUUCAGUUACCUACAUUAAAGUAUUGGCUGGAAAUAAAUAUUUACUUUUCCCCAGAGCUUGUUGCAGUGUUACCUUCAUCAAAAGUUAUGCUAUUGUGUUAAUUAUUAAAGUAUUUUUAGAAAAAGGAAUUUAGUAUGUAUGUUGCCAUGGUAACAUAAUUCAAAUUAUAUUUCAUUGAAAUUAAGGAUUUGUAUUUCAAUAAGGGAUCUACAGUAUAUAAUGUAAUGGUAAAAGAAUGUUCACUUUCUUCAGUAUUGUCAGUUAUAACUAGCCAGAGAAAAAAACAGAUUAUGAGGAAAGGGAUGACUGAAAUGUUUAUUCUUACGAUAACUACUUUUGUUACUGUUUUGUUUUGUUAUUUUAAAGUUUUUAUGUGAAAUUUUCAGAUUUCUUUCCUGAAUACUUAUACUUUCAAAUAUUCAACUUAUUAGAAAUACUUUUUUAGAAUAAGCUCUUGUUUUUAAGAAUUAUUGUAGGAAAAGGGAAUUUAAAACAUAUGUCGUCAUGGUAACACAAUUGUCUUAGAAAAUAUGGAAAAUUUUUAAUUAGAUAUACUUUCUAGUAUUCUACUUUAAAAUAAGCAUAAACAAUAAAAAAAUCAAUAGUAAUAUAUGUUUCAUUUAUUUCAAAAUAGUCAUUUAUUACCGGCAGGUAAAAGGCAAGUUAUGAAGAAACAAUGACAGAAAUGUCUUAUUCUUAUAGUUAUUACUCAUGUUACAAACGCUGUCAUAAAACAAAACAUUUUAAUUUUUUUAACAUGGAAUUUUGAGAUAAUAUUUUUGAAUACAUACCACUUUAUAAUAUUCAAGUUAUCUGAAACACUUUUCCAAAUUUAGCUCUUUUUUAAAAUAUUAUUAUAGAAAAUAGAAUCGAAUGCAUAUGUUGCCAUGGUAACAUAAUUUAAUAAUGUUUUUAUAGAAAAUGUGAAGGACUUUAGCCAGCUAGAUGUUUGCACUUUAAGCGAAUAUCUAAAUAUUCUUUCUAAAAGAAGAUUCAUUUAUUUAAAAAUAGCCAGUGAUUACCAAUAAGUGAAAACACAAACUGAAGAAACAACGACUGAAAUAGUUUAUUCUUGUGGUUAUUACCAGUGUUACGAAAUCUGUCAUAAAACCAAACAUUUUAUAUCUUUUCACAUAAAAUUUUCUAAUUUUACUUUCGAAUACAUAUACUUCGAAAUUUCAACUUAUAAGAAACAUUAUUUCAAAUGAAGCUUUUGUUUUUAAGUUCUAUUGUAGAAAAAGGAAUUUAAUGCAUAUGUUGCCAUGGUAACACAAUUUGAAUAAUGUUUUCAUAGAAAAUAUGAAAGAUUUUAAUUAGCUGUAUUUUUCUGUUUUAAGUAAGCAUCACAAGAAUAAAAUUUCAUAAUAAUAAAAGGUUCUUUUUUUCCAAAAUAGUCAUUUAUUACCAGCAUCUAAAAGACAAGUACUGAAGAAACAAUGACAAAUCUAACUUAUUCUUAUGGUUAUUACCCAUGUUACAAAAACUUGUCAUAAAACCAAACAUUCUUAAUAUUUUCAUGUGAAAUUUUCAGAAUAUUUUUAUAAAUACAUUAUGCCUUCUAAUAUUUUACUUUUUAAAGUCCUUACUUUAAGUGAACAAGUUUUUUUAAAGUUUUAUCAUAGAAAAGGGAAUUUAAUAUAUUUGUUGCCAUGGUAACACAAUUUGAGAAAUAUUUUUAUAGAAAUUGUUGUAGAUUUUAGUUGAUUAUCAUUUUGUGUAAUAAGAAGGGAUCUUAUAUAUAUAUCAUGCAAUUGUAACAGAAGAUAAAUUUAUUUCAGAAUUGUUAGCCAUUACCAGUAGGUGAGAAAUAAACUAGAAAGAAAGAAUAA